rnacentral:rRNA from 1 species
AGUAUGUGGCUUAAUUCGAUGCAACGCGAAGAACCUUACCUGGGCUUGACAUGUAAUGAACAACAUGUGAAAGCAUGCGACUCUUCGGAGGCGUUACACAGGUGCUGCAUGGCCGUCGUCAGCUCGUGUCGUGAGAUGUUUGGUUAAGUCCAGCAACGAGCGCAACCCCUGUUGCCAGUUACCAGCACGUGAAGGUGGGGACUCUGGCGAGACUGCCCAGAUCAACUGGGAGGAAGGUGGGGACGACGUCAGGUCAGUAUGGCCCUUAUGCCCAGGGCUGCACACGUACUACAAUGCCCAGUACAGAGGGGGCCGAAGCCGCGAGGCGGAGGAAAUCCUAAAAACUGGGCCCAGUUCGGACUGUAGGCUGCAACCCGCCUACACGAAGCCGGAAUCGCUAGUAAUGGCGCAUCAGCUACGGCGCCGUGAAUACGUUCCCGGGUCUUGUACACACCGCCCGUCACAUCAUGGAAGCCGGUCGCACCCGAAGUAUCUGAAGCCAACCGCAAGGAGGCAGGGUCCUAAGGUGAGACUGGUAACUGGGAUGAAGUCGUAACAAGGUAGCCGUAGGGGAACCUGCGGUUGGAUCACCUC